UGCACAAUGGGCGCAAGCCUGAUGCAGCGACGCCGCGUGCGGGAUGACGGCCUUCGGGUUGUAAACCGCUUUUGAUUGGGAGCAAGCGAGAGUGAGUGUACCUUUCGAAUAAGCACCGGCUAACUACGUGCCAGCAGCCGCGGUAAUACGUAGGGUGCAAGCGUUAUCCGGAAUUAUUGGGCGUAAAGAGCUCGUAGGCGGUUCGUCGCGUCUGGUGUGAAAGUCCAUCGCUUAACGGUGGAUCUGCGCCGGGUACGGGCGGGCUGGAGUGCGGUAGGGGAGACUGGAAUUCCCGGUGUAACGGUGGAAUGUGUAGAUAUCGGGAAGAACACCAAUGGCGAAGGCAGGUCUCUGGGCCGUUACUGACGCUGAGGAGCGAAAGCGUGGGGAGCGAACAGGAUUAGAUACCCUGGUAGUCCACGCCGUAAACGGUGGAUGCUGGAUGUGGGGCCCUUUCCACGGGUCCCGUGUCGGAGCUAACGCGUUAAGCAUCCCGCCUGGGGAGUACGGCCGCAAGGCUAAAACUCAAAGAAAUUGACGGGGGCCCGCACAAGCGGCGGAGCAUGCGGAUUAAUUCGAUGCAACGCGAAGAACCUUACCUGGGCUUGACAUGUUCCCGGCGACGGCAGAGAUGUCGUUUCCCUUCGGGGCGGGUUCACAGGUGGUGCAUGGUCGUCGUCAGCUCGUGUCGUGAGAUGUUGGGUUAAGUCCCGCAACGAGCGCAACCCUCGCCCCGUGUUGCCAGCAUGCAGUGAUGGGAACUCACGGGGGACCGCCGGGGUUAACUCGGAGGAAGGUGGGGAUGACGUCAGAUCAUCAUGCCCCUUACGUCCAGGGCUUCACGCAUGCUACAAUGGCCGGUACAACGGGAUGCGACAAGGUGACUUGGAGCGGAUCCCUGAAAACCGGUCUCAGUUCGGAUUGGAGUCUGCAACCCGACUCCAUGAAGGCGGAGUCGCUAGUAAUCGCGAAUCAGCAACGUCGCGGUGAAUGCGUUCCCGGGCCUUGUACACACCGCCCGUCAAGUCAUGAAAGUGGGUAGCACCCGAAGCCGGUGGCCUAACCGCAAGGAUGGAGCCGUCUAAGGUGAGACUCGUGAUUGGGACUAAGUCGU
rnacentral:rRNA from 1 species